rnacentral:rRNA from 1 species
UACGUAGGGUGCAAGCGUUGUCCGGAAUUACUGGGCGUAAAGCGCGCGUAGGCGGCUUUGCAAGUCGAGUGUGAAAUCCCCAGGCUUAACCUGGGAACUGCAUUCGAGACUGCAUAGCUAGAGUAUGGGAGAGGGAAGUGGAAUUUCAGGUGUAGCGGUGAAAUGCGUAGAUAUCUGAAGGAACAUCAGUGGCGAAAGCGACUUCCUGGACCAAUACUGACGCUCAUGUGCGAAAGCGUGGGGAGCAAACAGG